GAUCAUGGCUCAGGAUGAACGCUGGCGGCGUGCCUAACACAUGCAAGUCGAACGGGAAAUACUUUAUUGAAACUUCGGUGGAUUUAAUUUAUUUCUAGUGGCGGACGGGUGAGUAACGCGUGGGUAACCUGCCUUAUACUGGGGGAUAACAGCCAGAAAUGACUGCUAAUACCGCAUAAGCGCACAGAACCGCAUGGUUCCGUGUGAAAAACUCCGGUGGUAUAAGAUGGACCCGCGUUGGAUUAGCUAGUUGG
rnacentral:rRNA from 1 species